UACGGAGGGGGCAAGCGUUGUUCGGAAUUACUGGGCGUAAAGGGUUCGUAGGCGGCCAACUAAGUCGGACGUGAAAUCCCCAGGCUCAACCUGGGAACUGCGUCCGAUACUGGAUGGCUUGAAUUCGGGAGAGGGAUGCGGAAUUCCAGGUGUAGCGGUGAAAUGCGUAGAUAUCUGGAGGAACACCGGUGGCGAAGGCGGCAUCCUGGACCAACACUGACACUGAGGAGCGAAAGCCAGGGGAGCAAACGGG
rnacentral:rRNA from 1 species